GGGGGUGUGGGGGUGUGUGUGCGCGCGCGCGCAAUUUUAACCUUUUUUUCUCCGUUGCUCUCGCUUACUUUUAGGUGGACUCAGUAAUAAAUUUCCGCGGUCUUGUUUUUUACAGGUGCUGGGCAGCACCGCAGCACAGCUGAUUUCAAGAAAGUCCGCUGGCGCUGGUGCAAAUACCAUCCCGUUAUCCGCAAGGAAUUAGGUGCGAGCCCGGAGUCCCCGUUGGGAGUUAAACAGCGCUCAGGGCGUCCCGGCUCUUGGGAGCAGGGCUGGCGGUGUAGUUUCUCCUAUCAGCCUGGAGACGGGAGAGCCGCGUUCGGAAGCACCUCCCUCCGCCCCCGGAGACCGACUGAUUUUGAAAAGCCCGCGCUGCGUAAAGAUUGGCUGCCCCGCUCUUGGGCUUUUCUACUGCCCAGUAGUUUUCAGGUUAAAAAGGCGUUUCACCUUUUAUAAGUUCACUCGGAAGAGGCUUAAGAACUUCCUGGUCCUCCACUUCGGUGCUGAAACUCCUGCACCUUGGCGCUGCCGGGCUCGGCUCUUAGCUGGGUGUUCGUUUCGUCAAUGGAGGCGCUCGGAGAAGGCGUUGGGCGUGGUAGGAACCCGCGGGGGUCGGAGCCUCCCUCGUGUCUCCCCCUAACCCUGAAACGGCCUCGUUUCCCCGAUGAAUCUGUUUUCCUAAAUAUGGGUUCUUUCAGCUGGCGUGCAAGUCAUAUACAGAGUCGAAAUAUUUGAUUUUAUAUCAUAUCAAUGCAGAGAUGGGUUCUAGGUGGAAUAUCCACAAGGCUAGUACACUUUCAGUAUGCCAGGUUUUUUCAUUUUUAUGGAAUUCGAACAAUAAAAAGCUGGUAUUUUCUGUAUACGUAACAACCUA